GACGAACGCUGGCGGCGUGCUUAACACAUGCAAGUCGAACGGAAAGGCCCUGCUCUUUUGGUGUGCUCGAGUGGGGAACGGGUGAGUGACACGCGAGUAACCUGCCCUUGACUUUCUGAUAACUUCAGGCAACAGGGGCUAAUACCGGAUAGGAGCUCCUGCUCCGUGGUGGGGGUUGGAAAGUUUCGGCGGUUGGGGGUGGACUCGCGGCUUAUCGGCGUGUUGGUGGGGUAGUGGCUUACCAAGGCUUUGACGGGUAGCCGGCCUGAGAGGGUGAGCGGCCCCGUCGGGACUACGAUACGGCCCAGACUCGUACGGUAGGCAGCAGUGGGGAAUAUUGUGCAGUGGGGGCGAGCCUGAUGCGACGGCGCCGCGUGCGUUAUAACGGCCUUCGGGUUGUGAACCGCUUUCGCCUGUGACGUGGCGUGAUUGACGGUAAUUGGUAAAGAAGCACCGGCUAACUACGUG
rnacentral:rRNA from 1 species